rnacentral:lncRNA from 1 species
UACUUUUUUCCAUUCCCUACAAAUCUAAAGCUUAGGAAAAUUAGUACACACCCAUCUACCUUCAUCCUGUUGUGGCAAAGCAGAACAGCUCGGUACUAUACGAGACGCAGCUACUGGGAUUUGAAGAUUUGAGAAUCCGAACGUCACUUGAAGAGGUGGAGAAAAACCUUUAAUUACACUAGCAGGUUCAGUGGAGUUCUCAGAAGCCUAAGCGCUUCUCCGGAAAUGGACGCCUCCUUAGCCCUCAUUGGUUGUUAAGCCUGGCAUCGUAUGGGAACUGAAUGAAUCUUAAAACACCCCGUCUCAUUCAUCCCCACUGCUGAAAAGCUUCUAAAAAGGUCCCUAUUUCACAAAAAGAGACACUUGGAAAAGAUUUUGUACUGUCUUGGCCUGAAUCUCCAAGCACAAAAUCCAGAUUCUUCAUCCAUUAUAAUAAUUGUGGCAAAUCAGAUCCUCCAGAAUACAGAAAUCCCUAGAUAAACAAAGAUUUAAUUUAAAGGAAAGAAAAGGAAGGGGAAAAGCAGGUGAAUUCCAGCCAUCCCUCAUUGAUCAAAUAUUUGGCAAUUUCUGUCAAAGAAAAACUCUACAGCGUGUCCUCAUCCACCUUAUUCAUUGCACCUGGUACCUUGCAACUUCUGGCUCUUCUCCAAAGUCAAAAUGGCUGUGGAAGGCAAAUGUUUUGAAUCGAUUCAGGACAUUGGGGCAGCCAGGACAGUGCAACUAAAGACAAUCUAGAAAGAGGACUUCCAGAGCUGCUUCAGAAAGUGGCAAGAGUAAUGGGAUAAGUGCAUUUGAGGUAAGGAGGAGUAUUUUUAGGGGAGGUUAAUGGUAAU